CCCCUCUUUCCCCGCGGAGCGCCUGAUAUGGUGGCGCACGGUGUGAUGGAGAGGAGUAUUUCAUUGGUGCCAAGUACAUUGUACAUUAAGCACCUCAUGGAAGGACCAUCCCAAGUAGAAGAAUACUGGGUACACACAAGUGGAUUUUCCUCAAAAACGUAAUGGCUUGAACAGUUUCUAGUGAUGACAAUGUGACAUGUCCUGAAGGAAGAUUUCCUCGCAACAGGAAAUAAAACAGAGAGAUGCUUGAAUGCUGUGUCUAAAUAGAAGGAAAACGUGUUUUAUAGAAAUCAAGUAGGAACAAGUGCUUUUGGCUUAUUCAGUGCUGAAUUGGAGCACUUUGUCAGAGCUGCCUGACAAAUGUGGAUGAUGUAACCAGAAGGAGGUGUAACACCUGAAGAGAUAUUGUGGCUUGGAGUGGGAUGCCACGCUUUUAAAAGCCUGCUAAAACAGCUUCUGUUUGUUCAGUAGAUACUGUCUCUGCAUAUUUAAAACACCGUCUUUCCAAAAUACUGAGCUGUCUUCUGUCGGAAGAGUAGCAGUAAUAUUAGGGAUGGAGUAUAUGGAAAACCCCUUGAUUAUUUACCCUUUUAAAAUACCUUAUGGGUACACAGUGUUGCAGAUACUAAAGAUCUGUGAUAACUCAGGACUGGAGCUCACAGGCAGGCCCUGUAAAGACAGUGAAAGCAAAGAAAAAGACAGUGUUUACAGUUUGCAUCACUGUAUCUACUGAGGGAGUGAGGAGUUGGGGUUUUAUGGGACUGCCCUUUCAGCAGGAGAAAGCUAGGACCACAACAGUGGAACUGCCUUUUGAGGAAUACACUGGCAACAGUACUUGCUUGCUCUCUGGGGGAAAGAGGUUGGUUGUGGGAAAAAACAGUUACAUACAUUGGAACUUGGGCUUUUGUCUUGGUUUGAAAAGUCUGCUAAGGAAGGCAGGAGCCUCCAUUGAAAUGGAAGUUCAGGGGCUUUCAGGCAAAGAUAUGGGAGUAGGAAUAACAGUUCUUUAUUCGGAAAAAUAAAAGUAAAAAUGCAGUAAUACAGACCAGCACUGGCAAGUGUCAGAAUACAGCCUGCCUGACAACCCUGUUGGUCAGGGCAUUGGUAGCAGUCUGAUUAAAUGGUGGCUGCAAACCUCCUGGAGUGACAAGUGCAGUUCUGUUGAAGCAGUGAUCCUGUAGAAGGCUAUAGUUUUCCUCUGAAGGUCCAGUGGUGGUGUAGAUGGGCAUGGUCUUCCUCUGGGAAUCCAGUGGAGAAGAAAGCUGCUCCUCUGGGAAUCCAGUGGGAGAAGGCUGACUGUGGUGUUCCAAAUCUCAGAUUAUAUCCAGGUAGGAAUGCUUGGCUCCUCCCUCUGGGUGGAGCAUCUGACAAUGGGAUCAGUCAUGGCAAUGAGAGCCAAAGGCCCAUUAACAGAAGAUGUCUUCCUGGAGGGAGGAUUGGCUGUGGAAGAGAUAAAGAUAACUGCCCCAUCUCUAGCAGAUGGCGAAUAGAAUACACACCCUCAGCUACAUCUUCCAGCCUAAGCUGGCUUUAAACAGUCACUUAAAAAAAGCUGGUGCUGUAAUGACAGUAGCAGCAGAUUUGCUGUAUUCAGCAAGCUGUCCCUUUCACAGGAAUGAAGAAUCAUAAUUUGGUCACCAAAAGUAAAGUAAAUUUAAAGACAGCUCAUGGUGUUCAUGAAGUAAAAUUGGCUUUGAAGCAUGACUUUGAAGCCUUAUUGUCAGGAAUUCUUUAUAACAGCAGAAAAAUGACAAUAGCAUAAUGAAAAAUUCAUAGACCUAUUACUGAAUCAGUUUGAAAUGGUCCAAAAUGUAUAAAACAACCCUAGAGUUCAUGGGAUGCACCUGUUCAUCCAUGACAAAUUCCAUGUAAAGUCCAGUUUUCUGUCAAAGUAGUAUGAAGUAUAAACACUACCAGGAACAGCACAUAAAGCAUUGGAAAUGUCAAAAACAAGUAUCCAUCAUGCUACUGAAGUGGAUGCUAAGGAUCUGACUGAACUCCAGGAGUGCAUUGGCUCACUGAGCAUCUCCUAUGGUUUGCUUAUUAAGCAUCGGCCAGCUACUUUGGCUAAAGGCUGCUCCUUUUGAGCAAGGAAUGGUAAAUCGGUCUAUUGAAUAUCAAGAUCUGCAGAAAUAAACUAGAACAUAGCUUUCUCUUCAUUGCUUUCAAUAAUACUUGUUUCUGUUAACAAAUGUUACUGAGGAUGGUGUGUUUUUUCAUGUGCUAUGCUUUGUACAUGCUUUUGAAUAAAGAUAAGGAUGUUAAAAGUCAUGGCUGUUGCAUGUCAGCUGUGGAUCGCACCAUGGUGUUCCUUGACUGCUUGUACUUCUCUAGAGCUAUGGAGGCAGUGUGGCCUUGUGCUGACUGGUGCAGCAUGUACUGGGCACACAAAGCUUCAUGUUGUGCUUGAGUGACUCCAGGACCGAAACUACUGACUGCAUACUCAAGAAGUCAGAAGGUAAGAUUAGUAUCAAUCUUCUGCCCACUGCAGAUCUACAAAAAGUGGGUGCUGUUAACAGCAUCUAGUAGAGCUGCUUGAUUGGUAAGUGUAGAAGUUGUCAGUCCUAGCUGUGUCUCUUCUGGAUGUUAAGGUCUCAAAGAGCAGAGAGAUGGUUGAUAGAGUAGCAGUAUUUGGUAAGUACUUUGUUAGGUAUUCAAAGGCAUACGUGACUUUGUUACAGGAUCAGAAGAGUGGCAUGUGUUUUUGAGAAUAAAGGUCAAUAAAUAAAAUCUUCAGGCUAAUGUUAAUACAGAAUGCUAACCUUUAAAGAGAAUGCUAUAUAUAUGUGCAGUAAACUUGGUGAAAGAGUGUAUCUUGUGAUGCUGGGGAUGAAAUAGAAUAAGGUUUAGGGUUGUGGGUGGCACUUCAGGUACCCAAAGUACUUCAUGACGGCCUGGCUCUGUGUUCUAACGCAUUUGUUGGGGAUGAUCUGGAAGGUAGGAUUGUCAGCAAUAGAUAAAGAGUGCCAGGAAAUAAAGUUACUGCAUAUGAGUGUGGUGGAGGUGUGUCUCAGAAUGUUAAAUCAUGAAAAAGAUUGGUGCCUCAGCAUAUAAAAAAAGGUAGAUGUGGCCAAUGGUAAGGUAUAUUAAAUAUUGAGCUGUAGAGCUUUCUCAAGGAACAAUCCUGUACUUCAGAGCUACUGAAAAUUGGUAGCCAAUAAAAAAAUGUGUAUUAGUAGUAUAGGGUAUUGAGUGUUUACAGACGUGAAUUAGUGUUGUAACCAUGACAUGUUCCAGAGGAUUUGGUUUAUAAGACCAGUGAAAAUUAUGUAGCAAGGUCAUUUUUAUCUGAUGGCUUAAAGAUGGCUUUUUUGCCUUGUGGGAGGGGGUUAAUAUGCUUUCAAACCAGUUGUGGAAUUCUGGUACAUUUUCUGGAGUGAUGUUUAAUACAAGUGAGAUAAGGAGAUAGUAGUGUUCGAGAGUUACUGUGUGACACAUUUGGAACACGUGGCAUGAGAUUUCUCUGCAAAAGCAUUUCAUGAAACUACAGGUUUACAAACCACAUUGUUAAAUUCAAAGCUUUUAAGAUUGUGCAGUAAACAGCAUGAAACAAUUUUGCUGCUCUUGUGCUUUAGUCCAGUGAAGUCUUGUGCUAACAUUAGUGGAGAGCUGGAAGUGUCACAUGGCUGGUGGGCUGUGGUCCAAGUAAUCAGUGGUUAAACUGUUCUGGAAUGUUGCUAUUUAUCAGUCUUAGUAACUGGGCAAAACCAGCAGAGACUUAGUUAUUAAAUGAAUGUUGAGCUUACAAGAAAGAGAAGUACCUUGCAACCGCAUGGCAAAUUCGAGAGUAGCUCUGCAUAAAUGCUUUGCUAUGUUUGAAGUAACAAGGUCCUUAUUAAGGUGGGAGGUUUUGUCUUGCUGAAGAACUUGUCUUACUGGUGAAGGCUGUGAUCUAUAAUCAAGAGUUGCAAGUGAGUGAAACUAAGCUAGCAGUGGUUAUCUUGCCACAGCACCCACACUGCUAUGUGACUGCCGGUGCUUGUGUGAUACCUGCUUGAAGUAUCAGAUCCCAGUGAACAGGAAUUUCAGAAUAAGCCAUGCUGUCUGGCUGCCAUCCUGCAGAAGAGUGUGACUGGCUGCUGCUGUAUGGUGUGCUGGUGUUGGGGUUCCUACCAUCUUUCCUGCAGGAAAGCUCUUAACUGUAUAAAUUUGCCAUUUGAAGUUUGGGGUAUGUGUUCUGCCAUAAAAAUUAAAAACCAGAAAUGAGUUGAUAAAUCAAAGCAUUCUAUAGGACAUUCAAACAUGGAUGCAGCAGAAUCAGCAAGUGUUUGACUUUGCCCAAAGAGAAAGGUAUUAAUACUAAAGAGUGUUCAGUCCUAACUUUGGUAGCUUUUCUUCAUGCUCCCUCCCUUUGUCCCAGAGGACAAUCUUUGAGCUAUCUUCUGGAGUAUGAAUGAAUUUAACAGAAAAAUAAUAAUUUCAGAUUAGUGGAGUACACAUGGAGGCUUUAUAUGCUAUGUAAAUGCAUGUCUAAUGAUGUGCAUUCUUUUUUUUUUUUGGGUGUUACAACUGGUUUUACAAGCAUUUUUGCUUGUCUGCCCUUGUAUUUCCCUCAGAGGAUAUAAACUGGAAAAGUACAAUUAGCAUGAUGAAUUCUACUUCCUCUCAAACAUCAUGUGGCUUUUUAGUUGAUAGUCCAGUUGAGCUAUCAGGGCUAUGAAGACAGUACUUCUCUGCCAUUGUCUCAAACUUCCUGCAGGCUCCGGAGGACAAAGUGGUGUUUGAUGCUCAGAAGAAUGGCUGUAUUGAGUGGGACAAAGUCUGCCUCGUUCAGUAUUCUGUCUGAGGAUGACCAGUACAAGGAACAGGAGAAGUAUACAGAGUCUUUCCAGCAGUUUUCUUGGGAAUUUUCUGAGAUUUUCAUUUGUGUUUGAAUACUACUUUGCAAUUAUGACCUAUCUCCAUUUAAAAAGAUUUGAAACAUGAAUGAUAUGUGGGCUCUAAAAUCGAUGAAGUAGUGGAUAUGUUAAUAAGUGUAGG